ACCCAAUGUCUUUUGUCAGGACUCCUCUCUCAUCUCACGGAGGCUGUCUGUUACAGUGUUGGGAAAUUGAAUUUACCACGCACCUGUCGUUGAAGUUCUCCUUUGCGACUGAUGGGUGCCGUUCUGGUCACUAUCGAGCUGGUUCGUGCGUCCGAAGAGUUGAAAUUUUCACGAGUCCUUUGCGGCCACUUACUGGAAGUCUCUUAGUGAAGACGCACACAAUU
rnacentral:snoRNA from 1 species